GAAAAAAUUAUUAGCACAAACAUAGUUCAGAUGUUACAUGUUACAUAAGACUUGAGCUUGAGCAACUAUCCUGCUAUAGGUAUAUAAAUUUCCUAAUUUUAAUCACAGCAGCAAACAAGAACCUUCCUAAAGGGCAAACUCCCUUAUGCCGUGUUGUCCUUUCAUCUAACACGGGCAGUGAAACAUUUUAUCAAUGCACAAUAAAACAUUAAACACACACAAUAGUCUAGUUGGGAAUCCAAAUGAUUGACUUUCACACAUCAACAUACACCCAAAUCAUAGAAAAGUUGUUCUGUCCGGAAAUGGAAAGAACAUCAACAAGUGACAUGCUCCAUCCGCCCUUUGGACUGCUCUUCUCCUCAUGCCUCCCCUUCAAUCACUCACCAUAUUAAUAACACCUAAAUACGAAAACCACUUAUGAAUUAUACUGGCAUGCAAAACAUUGUAUACUGUGAAGCAUAGCAAUGCCACUAAGUAAGAUGGGAAUAGUGAUAUAAUUGGUUCAGGUUGCAGCCAUCAAAAGCAUACCGAUAACACGAAGAUAAACUAACAAUAAAUAUAUCAAUGCAUGUUCAUGACUGAAUUCACUCUUUUUCAGCAAAAAAGUAAGAAAAUGUAACCACCUUAAGUAAAAAAUUAGAAUGAGCAAAAGCACUAAUAUCCAUAAUACACACAUGUACUUUGAAGGUGCUUGUGUCUCAUGUAGCACCAAGGCCCGAACCACUAUGAUACUUCCCAAAUUUCUUGAGCAUCUAAAUAUAAAGUAGCAAAGAAGAAAAGAAAAAAUUCUAAGUGAGAACAAUAGUAAUGCUUGACAAACAGUACCAUAUAUGGAAGUUGAUACACAAGAAAAGCUAGAAAACAAUAGAUCAAAUUGAAAAAUAAUGAUGCUAAUAAAAAAUUCAUGGACUUUUAUCAGCACAACCUGUGCCCCUAGCAACCGCACGGAGUCAUCAACCUGCAUUGGUUAAGGUGGGCCACAUGGUCCAAGCUUAGAAUUAUGAACCUGAGGGGCAGCCUAUGGCUAGCAGAACAACAACAGUUGAUGCAAGGCCAGCAAUUUUGAUUGUUAAAUUGGUUAGUUCAACACAAAAAAUUAGUAAUAUGAUGUUAAUCCAUGACAAAGUUAGGAGAAUAAAAUAGGCAUGGUGAUAACACGAUGCAAGGAUCGGACGACCGAACUGGCACAAUUGACCAAAAUGAGCAAGAUCGAACGGCCAGCAAAGAUCCAAAUCAGGGGAGAGCUGUUAGGUAUAAAAUUGCUUUCCCUGGCUCAUAUAAAAUUAGACACCCAGGUUGUUCAUCAGCUCGUCGAAACAAUGGCCUGAAAUGAAAAGCUCUUUCUUAUGAGCCUGGACAAUUAUUUCUUCUCUCAGCCACUAAAAAUGGUUCAGAACAUGAUGUUGACAUGCUGCAACGUUACAUUGUUUUCCGAGUGUGCCAAGAUUCUCUAUCCCAUGCAUGCUAGUUAGCCCGACAAAGUAAAUUUUUGUUUCGGUACCAAACACCUAUCCUUACCCAGCGAAGACCAGUAGUUUGUUUGCUUUGGAAAUAAAUACGCCCUAAAUCAUCAUGCAUAAACUGGUUGAGUUAUGGAUAUGCCGAAUGAAAGGUUUAGCUAAAUACAUUACUAUAACACAGUAGUUCUGAAAUUAUUACAUGGAGUAAGCAUGCUAACCUUUCCAUCCUACAUUCCAGUAUUUCUUCGACAUUCAGACUAAGCUCCUGUCAAUUUCAGGCAGGCAAGAUAGUUCUUCUCGUGUUUCAACCUGCAAAAAUGAUUGGAUGUACCCUAAGUGCAUACAACAUGAUCUCUGAACACAGUUUUAUUCAAAGCAUAUGAACAAAAUAUUAAUUGGACUAAUUGCUGCAAUCAUGUUCUGAACCUAAUCAAGGGAAACAACAACAUAGAGCAAAAAUCUUCAAAUAAUCACAUGGCCAAAGAGAAGCUAUCUAUGAAUCAAGCUUUCGGUCAAGAUGCACCACCAAUAAAAAGCAUUAGUUUUAUAAGGUACAAACAACUGUACCUUGAAGCACAAUCAACAUGCUGGACCUAGCUCCUAAUUCCAUUUAGGAAUCAUCAUCUUCAUAAAGUAAUAAGUAAACUUGGUCAUCCAUGCACCGACUAUAGCCUGGUUGCUAAUUUCCACCUAUGUCACAAAUAAGACAAUGUCAUGUUCAAACUGAAGGUGAAAGCAGUAUACAUUCAGUUUCUAAUUUAUUUUAGUAAUAAAAAUCUCUAUAAAGAAGCAGACCAACCGCUGGAAAUAAACUGGCAUGGAACUAAAUCAGUGUCCACAAAACCAUAGAUAUGCAUGCUCAUCAAGCAUGUCAUACAUUUUACCAGAAUGGAAGCUUAGUUGGUGCUGGUGCCCUACCUCAAGAACCUCCAGCCCACACAACAGAAAUCCGUCCAUCUUGGCCAUGAAUUCAC
rnacentral:lncRNA from 1 species